rnacentral:lncRNA from 1 species
UGUGCCCAAUGAUAUCCUAGAAGCUCUGAGGUUGUUGGCUUAAAAGUCUCUGUACGAUCUCCUCCACAUGUGCAUCACUCUAAGUCUAGGAUGUCGAGGCCUGUGAUGAUGUCGAAGAGUAUCGAGCUGCUGGAGGGUCGAAGCUGUGGCCGACUCAUAUGACUCGGCUCUUACUCACUCCUCUGAUGAUCCUGAGCCAUCCCUCAAGGUCAAGGAGGGACUGAGUGGAUGGAUCAUCAUCGUGUCGCGUAAUGAUGUACUCCAC